UUUUUUACAGGUUUUUCACAUAUUUAUUUAUUUAUUUAUUUGUUGGUGCCUGACAUUUAAAAUCACCAUCCACUUUCAACAGCAGCUCAGAUGUUCUGCAGAAUGUCUCCUUGUGUUCCACAAAAGAAAAAAGGUGAGUUCACACACACACGCACCAGGAGGGAUCUGAAGCCCACGCGAUACAGACACCUCAACCGAAUGUAAAACAAACACACUCGAUUUCACUCUUCAAAAAGAUGUUCACCACCUUCAAAGCUUUACGACGAAAGCGGAGCGGAACGCUCCAAAACACAGGCAACAAACAACUCGUUUAUACAUUCUCCUAAUUCCUCUCCGACGGGCCUCGAUGUCUUUCUUCAGCAACAGACUGUUGGGGAUCACGGCUUCAACGUUGUGGUUUUAAGACUCCCGUCUCCCCUCCCCGCUCCUCCGUAUCUCUGUGAUAAACGCCAGAGCAAAUUCAAAGCCAAACAAACACGGAUUCAAAGAAAGAUUUUUGUGGCAACUUAAGGAAAGUGCAUGUUCGUGACAACGUGUCGCCGGGGAGUUUGUUCAGUCGGUGCUCGCUCAGAUAGACCCUGGCUGCUCAUCCUGAGCAGGGAAGUGCAUUUGCUUGAUUAUCAUUAAAAAAAGAGAGAUGAUGUCUUCAGAAGUCAGAGGGGAUAUUUAUCAGACUCGCAGUUGGAGACGUGAUGGCGUGUCUCUUCUAAUAGAACAGCCUCAAGGCUCUGGGCCUGUGUGUGCAGGUUAUGAUCCCAUGAGAAGUGAAUAAGCAAAGCGCUGACUGAUCACA